GACGAACGCUGGCGGCGUGUUUAACACAUGCAAGUCGAACGGAAAGGCCCUGCUUUUGUGGGGUGCUCGAGUGGCGAACGGGUGAGUAACACGUGAGUAACCUGCCCUUGACUUUGGGAUAACUUCAGGAAACUGGGGCUAAUACCGGAUAGGAGCUCCUGCUGCAUGGUGGGGGUUGGAAAGUUUCGGCGGUUGGGGAUGGACUCGCGGCUUAUCAGCUUGUUGGUGGGGUAGUGGCUUACCAAGGCUUUGACGGGUAGCCGGCCUGAGAGGGUGACCGGGCACAUUGGGACUGAGAUACGGCCCAGACUCCUACGGGAGGCAGCAGUGGGGAAUAUUGCACAAUGGGCGGAAGCCUGAUGCAGCAACGCCGCGUGCGGGAUGACGGCCUUCGGGUUGUAAACCGCUUUCGCCUGUGACGAAGCGUGAGUGACGGUAAUGGGUAAAGAAGCACCGGCUAACUACGUG
rnacentral:rRNA from 1 species